AAAAAAAAAAACCCUAAAUUUUCGUGCCAACGUUUGGCUGUUCGUCCAUCUUAUAUAAAAUUUUUUUAUAAUUAGAAUUUUCAUUGUUGUUAGAUGAUAAAACAUGAUUAAUACUUUAUGCGUGACUUAUCUUUUUAAUUUUUUUUAAAUAAGACGGACGGUCAAACAUUAGACACGGAAACCAGGGUUUGUCUUUUU
rfam:Oryza glumipatula chromosome 5, whole genome shotgun sequence.